CGAGCGAAGCAUUUAACAUGAAGUUUUCGGAUGGAAUGUUAUCUGACUGAGCGGCGGACGGGUGAGUAACGCGUGGGUAACCUGCCUUAUACAGGGGGAUAACAGUUAGAAAUGACUGCUAAUACCGCAUAAGCGCACAGUACUGCAUGGUACAGUGUGAAAAACUCCGGUGGUAUAAGUUGGACCCGCGUCUGAUUAGCCAGUUGGCGGGGUAACGGCCCACCAAAGCGACGAUCAGUAGCCGACCUGAGAGGGUGACCGGCCACAUUGGGACUGAGACACGGCCCAAACUCCUACGGGAGGCAGCAGUGGGGAAUAUUGCACAAUGGGGGAAACCCUGAUGCAGCAACGCCGCGUGAGUGAAGAAGUAUUUCGGUAUGUAAAGCUCUAUCAGCAGGGAAGAAGAUGACGGUACCUGAUUAAGAAGCCCCGGCUAACUACGUGCCAGCAGCCGCGGUAAUACGUAGGGGGCAAGCGUUAUCCGGAUUUACUGGGUGUAAAGGGAGCGCAGACGGCAGUGCAAGUCUGGAGUGAAAGCCCGGGGCCCAACCCCGGAACUGCUCUGGAAACUGUGCGGCUAGAGUACUGGAGGGGCAGGCGGAAUUCCUAGUGUAGCGGUGAAAUGCGUAGAUAUUAGGGGGAACACCAGUGGCGAAGGCGGCCUGCUGGACAGUAACU
rnacentral:rRNA from 1 species